rnacentral:rRNA from 1 species
CGCAGGCGGUUUGUUAAUUCAGAUGUGAAAUCCCCGGGUUCAACAUUGGAACCGGAUCUGAUACUGGUAAGCUUGAGUCUCGUAGAGGGUGGUAGAAUUCCAGGUGUAGCGGUGUAAUGCGUAGAGAUCUGGAGGAAUACCGGUGGCGAAGGCGGCCCGCUGGACGAAGACUGACGCUCAGGUGCGAAAGCGUGGGGAGCAAACAGGAUUAGAUACCCUGGUAGUCCACGCCGUAAACGAUGUCGACUUGGAGGUUGUGCCCUUGAGGCGUGGCUUCCGGAGCUAACGCGUUAAGUCGACCGCCUGGGGAGUACGGCCGCAAGGUUAAAACUCAAAUGAAUUGACGGGGGCCCGCACAAGCGGUGGAGCAUGUGGUUUAAUUCGAUGCAACGCGAAGAACCUUACCUGGUCUUGAAUUCCACAGAACUUUCCAGAGAGGGAUUGUUGCCUUCGGAAACUGUAAGCGAGGUGCUGCAUGGCUGUCGUCAGCUCGUGUUGUGAAAUGUUGGGUUAAGUCCGCCACCAAGCGCAACCCUUAUCCUUUUUUGCCA